GACGAACGCUGGCGGCGUGCCUAAUACAUGCAAGUUGAGCGCUGAAGGUUGGUACUUGUACCAACUGGAUGAGCAGCGAACGGGUGAGUAACGCGUGGGGAAUCUGCCUUUGAGCGGGGGACAACAUUUGGAAACGAAUGCUAAUACCGCAUAAAAACUUUAAACACAAGUUUUAAGUUUGAAAGAUGCAAUUGCAUCACUCAAAGAUGAUCCCGCGUUGUAUUAGCUAGUUGGUGAGGUAAAGGCUCACCAAGGCGAUGAUACAUAGCCGACCUGAGAGGGUGAUCGGCCACAUUGGGACUGAGACACGGCCCAAACUCCUACGGGAGGCAGCAGUAGGGAAUCUUCGGCAAUGGACGAAAGUCUGACCGAGCAACGCCGCGUGAGUGAAGAAGGUUUUCGGAUCGUAAAACUCUGUUGGUAGAGAAGAACGUUGGCGAGAGUGGAAAGCUCAUCAAGUGACGGUAACUACCCAGAAAGGGACGGCUAACCACGUG
rnacentral:rRNA from 1 species